CCUACGGGAGGCAGCAGUGAGGAAUAUUGGUCAAUGGGCGCAAGCCUGAACCAGCCAUGCCGCGUGCAGGAUGAAGCAUCUAUGGUGUGUAAACUGCUUUUGUACGGGAAGAAACACCGAUUCGUGAAUCGGCUUGACGGUACCGUAAGAAUAAGGACCGGCUAACUCCGUGCCAGCAGCCGCGGUAAUACGGAGGGUCCAAGCGUUAUCCGGAAUCAUUGGGUUUAAAGGGUCCGUAGGCGGUCAGGUAAGUCAGUGGUGAAAGCCCAUCGCUCAACGGUGGAACGGCCAUUGAUACUGCCAGACUUGAAUUAUUAGGAAGUAACUAGAAUAUGUAGUGUAGCGGUGAAAUGCUUAGAUAUUACAUGGAAUACCAAUUGCGAAGGCAGGUUACUACUAAUGGAUUGACGCUGAUGGACGAAAGCGUGGGUAGCGAACAGGAUUAGAUACCCUGGUAGUCCGACGACCGUAACGAGUAGGAGUACUAGCUGUUCGGUAGCAUCUGUAGUGGUCGUAAGACGAAGUAGAUAAGUAAUACCCACCCGUCGGGGUAGGUACGGGGCGGCGACGACCGUCGAACGUACGAAACGGAAAGUUAGUACGGCGUGAGACGUAGCCGACGGACGACGACGAGGGGAGGAGGG
rnacentral:rRNA from 1 species